AUGUUUUGGAAAACUUCCACGAAGGUGCACUUGGUGUAUCCUAGAAUGCUAGAAUAUUCCAAUGAAUGUGCAGUAGAAGUUUGUUUUAAUGUUCCAUUAUUUGGGACAGAGUUUUACGCCUACGUUUGAAAAACAUACCAGUUUUAGAAGUAUUAUUUUCAGAAUUAGUUUUAUGCAUACAUCUGAGAACAUUAUAAAAUAACAUACCCCAAAUCCAUGUAAAUAAAUAUUUGCAUUUAUAAAUGUAAAGAAUUUAGAAGAAAAAGACGAAAAAGUGAAAUGUUCAAUUCAAGGGUAUCAUAUUCUUCACCGCAAGAUGAUGUUCCUACUGGAAGGGAAGGAAGGGAAGCCCAAUCCUCGGUUCUUCGUG
rnacentral:sRNA from 1 species